rnacentral:rRNA from 4 species
UGGCUGCUGGAAGUAGAAAUCGUUAUUAAGCGUCAGGAAGUCCUGGACGUUGAAUCCAAUAGCAUUGA